UAUUGGUUAGCGUAAAAAAGCGGAAAAUUCAAAUGAGAUUCACGAAUCUACUUAAAAAUAUCAAGUUUUCAAAUGUCCAACGAAAAUGCAAGAGUUUUUUUUAAAUUUAUUCCAAGACCGCGUGAUUAUUCCAAACCUUUAGACUCAUUCCACGACACUCGUGAAAUUACAAGGCAUUUUUUAAAUCUAUCAUUCGCCGCUCCAAAUUCUUCUCAGAAAACUUAUCGAAUUAAAAUUAAAAAAACAAAUGCGAGUGUUCGUUAUUCCGCCCAAAAACUAAUGUCAAAAUUCACUCCUCGAACGAUAAAUCAAUUUUUUAGCGUAUCCAUCAGUAAAAUAAAUUAAAAAUGUACGAUCUCAUGCUGUCUUCGAAACCGAAUUUGAAAAUCGAUGAUAACACCAAACUUUGCUUUUCACGAAAGCCUUGUAUCAUAUCAUGGGUCCUGCUGUCCAUUUCAGUGUUAAUUUUUUUCCAAAUGUUCCGACGUAUAACGGACAACAUUUUCUUGACAAUUGUAUCGAUUCUGGGCAUAACUUUAUUCGGUCUGGACACGUUCGGUGAGUGGGAAGAUUUUGUAUUGGAUAAAAAAGAGAAAAAAGCAACGAUAACACGUUCGACAUGGAGCGAAAAAUGGAUAUUUCGAAAAACCCAAGAAACGACAAUGAAAUUGAGCGAAAUUUGUCACGUCGGUGCAUCAAUGGGUUUGGGAUUAUUCAUUUUGUGUCGAAACGGAAAAAUUUUUCGUCUCGAUACAAGAGGAUUGAAUCGCCGAAAAAUUCAAAACUAUCGAAAGGAAAUUCACCGAUUUCUUAACACUAGAAAAUUAUCUACAAUCGAUAAAACCCAGGAAAAACCGUACGAAAAAAUGAUCAUUCAUUCGGACUCGGAGGACGAAAAACGCCUCGAAAUAAGUGACAGUGCUUCCAUGGAAAAUUUACGAUUCCGAGAUAAAUUCAUGGCAAAACGAUUGCUUGAUCGACGUUCCAGCGUCACUGGAUUUCAAUGUUGCACAGAAAAUCCUCUAAGGAGAGGACGAUUUAUGAUGACCAAGGCCUCGUGAACGGGUUACAAGAGAUAGAUAAAUUGAAGGGACAGGUGCAGGAUGUUCACGUACCUUUGGAAGUCUUUGAUUACAUCGAUCAAGGAAGGAAUCCUCAGCUUUACACGAAAGAUUGCAUCGAGAAGGCAUUGACCAAGAACGAGCAGGUCAAGGGCAAGAUCGACGCUUACCGAAAAUUCAAGGCUAACAUGCUCGUAGAACUGAAUCGC